UACAGACGGUCCAAACGUUAUUCGGAAUCACUGGGCUUAAAGAGUUCGUAGGCGGUCAGGAAAGUGGGGUGUGAAAGCCCUCGGCUUAACCGAGGAAUUGCGCUCCAAACGUCCCUGACUUGAGGAGGCUAGAGGUAAGCGGAACUGAUGGUGGAGCGGUGAAAUGCGUUGAUAUCAUCAGGAACACCGGAGGCGAAGGCGGCUUGAC
rnacentral:rRNA from 1 species